AGAAUCAACGCUGGCGGCGUGCCUAACACAUGCAAGUCGCACGAGAAAGGGGAGCAAUCCCUGAGUAAAGUGGCGCACGGGUGAGUAACACGUGAAUCAUCUACCCUCGGGUGGGGAAUAACCUGGAGAAAUCCGGGCUAAUACCGCAUAACACUUACGAGUCAAAGCAGAAAUGCGCCUGGGGAGGAGUUCGCGGCCGAUUAGCUAGUUGGCGGGGUAAUGGCCCACCAAGGCGAUGAUCGGUAUCCGGCCUGAGAGGGCGCACGGACACACUGGAACUGAAACACGGUCCAGACUCCUACGGGAGGCAGCAGUGGGGAAUUUUGCGCAAUGGGGGAAACCCUGACGCAGCAACGCCGCGUGGAGGAUGAAGUAUCUUGGUACGUAAACUCCUUUCGAUGGGGAAGAUAAUGACGGUACCCAUAGAAGAAGCCCCGGCUAACUUCGCGCCAGCAGCCGC
rnacentral:rRNA from 1 species